AACGAACGCUGGCGGCAGGCUUAACACAUGCAAGUCGAGCGCCUCGCAAGAGGAGCGGCAGACGGGUGAGUAACGCGUGGGAAUCUACCGUGCCCUAAGGAAUAGCUCCGGGAAACUGGAAUUAAUACCUUAUACGCCCUUCGGGGAAGGAUUUAUCGGGUAUGAUGAGCCCGCGUUGGAUUAGCUAGUUGGUGGGGUAA
rnacentral:rRNA from 1 species